UUUUGUGGAUUAAACAAAGUACAUUUUUUACCACAGUGUCAGGAUCAGUCAUGUCAACCUGGGAAUAAUUGCCCGUGGAUUGUCACUAUGGUUAAUCAAAUAGUUUUUUAAGAAGUACAUUCAUGUGUAUAUAUAAGGUUUUUCAAUAUUUCCUUAGGGAUUACACAGAUGGAUUGAACAACAAAGCAACAUAUUACUGCAAGAAAGUGACACCUUUCCUAGUUUGGGAUCAAGUUAAUCCCUAUUUAAAAUCAUUAAAUAAAACAAACACAAUUUUUAUUUGAAGUACCAGAGCAAAUUUCCCACAGGUGGGAUCAAUAAAGUUUUUCUGAUUCUGAACUGUAUUCCAAAAUAAUUUUCUCAACCUUAAAGAUUGCAGGUUAACACAGGAAGUUACCUUUCACAAUAUGCAGCUACUGAGUAGCAAUUAAGGAUGCUGUGGACAUUGGACGACAGACUAACUUAAACCAGGCAGAGCAGGAAACUGUUGGAGUUGUUGUUCCCUCUGUGGCUUGUCCUCUCUCCUCUCAGACCUGUUCAACCCUUGUGGGACAUCAGAAAACCAUGGCCAAGACAUUAACAUUUAUGUACUGAUCUAUGCAUGUCAUCACAGCAGGAUGUAACAAAAACUAACAAUGUGAACAGAUCUCAUCUGCCUUACAAAAUACUGCCCCCCUUAAGAAAAUAAAUGGCUAAUAAUCACCACUGGUAUUUUGUAAAGCUUCAUUUUUUAAUGUGUGACCAUUGAAUGUGUUUUGUACAAAAGACUGAUGGUUUUGCAAAUAUCUUUGAAACACAGAGUCAAGUGCAUUAGGUUCUGUGAAAUUCUGAACCACAAUUCAGAGAAAUUAAAAUAACUGUUUUUAAAACUCCUUAAAAGACUUGAGGUGGAAAAGUCACUGUUUUCGUACAGGCACUAAGAAAUGGGAAGCAGACAGUGUGGUCGAAAUGGACAACUAUUUUAAAGGCUUCUCUUUCAGUUGACAGGAGAUGUCUGUGAGCCUGCUGGACAGCCUUUGCAUCACACUGGGACGUCUUUGGGGCCUGCAUCUGGAAAGAAACAAAAACAGCAAAGUUAAUUAACCAAAAAAA